rnacentral:rRNA from 1 species
UACGUAGGGGGCUAGCGUUGUCCGGAAUCAUUGGGCGUAAAGAGCGUGUAGGCGGCCCGGUAAGUCCGCUGUGAAAGUCGGGGGGCUCAACCCUCGAAUGCCGGUGGAUACUGUCGGGCUAGAGUGCGGAAGAGGCGAGUGGAAUUCCUGGUGAUAGCGGUGAAAUGCGCAGAUAUCAGGAGGAACACCGGUGUCGAAGGCGUCUCGUGGGCGAACUGACUGCGUGAGGAGCGAAAGUGUGGGGAGCGAACAGG